AACGAACGCUGGCGGCAGGCCUAACACAUGCAAGUCGAGCGAAGCCUUCGGGCUUAGCGGCGGACGGGUGAGUAACGCGUGGGAACGUGCCCUUUGGUACGGAAUAGCCCCGGGAAACUGGGAGUAACACCGUAUGUGGUCGAGAGACGAAAGAUUUACCGCCAAAGGAUCGGCCCGCGUUGGAUUAGGUAGUUGGUGGGGUAAUGGCCUACCAAGCCGACGAUCCAUAGCUGGUUUGAGAGGAUGAUCAGCCACACUGGGACUGAGACACGGCCCAGACUCCUACGGGAGGCAGCAGUGGGGAAUCUUGGACAAUGGGGGAAACCCUGAUCUAGCCAUGCCGCGUGAUCGAUGAAGGCCUUAGGGUUGUAAAGAUCUUUCAGUGGGGAAGAUAAUGACUGUACCCACAGAAGAAGCCCCGGCUAACUCCGUGCCAGCCGCCGCAGUAAAAC
rnacentral:rRNA from 1 species